UUUUUUUUAAUAGCCUUGUUUUAUUAUGGUGGGCACUCUCAGGGUUGUCACUUUAAAUUACAGCAACUUAAAUAUAAACACUUGUUACUAUGUAUAAAAACUAAAUUAAAAAAACCUAUAUCUUCGCCAUUUUUUUUGUCAAAACUACUACUUAGAAAUUAUAUUUACCACAUUUUUAAUUUUAAUUUUUCUUCAUAGCUAUAUGCUUUUGUUUUUUCUUUUUCUUCUUUUUCCCUCACAUAAACUAUAACUGUUAACCACCUCACUCAAUACCAAACGAGGUCUUAAUAAUCUUGGUGAUGUUUUAAUCGGUAGAGAAAAGGAUAAGCCUUGUUUCCAAAUCCAAAUUUGUUCACCCAUUUAAAUUUAACAUCAGCAGGAAAUGUAGCAUAACAUGCAUUGUAGGGCUAAGAGUCAUGCUGGCACUCCCAAGGUGUAAAAUGAAUCUGCUCUAAAACUGAAACAUAGCAACCAGAAUUAACAUGCUGUACCAUCUGAAAGUAAAGCCACCUAAGUCGACCUACAACCAUCACUGAACUAGUUUGUUUGCAGCAUAUGUGGAUGUGCACAAACUGAAAACCGCAGUAAGAAGCUUUAUCAUUUGCAGGAACUUAAUAAGCUCAGAUUCUCAACAUUAAAAUGCACCUCAAGCUUUCUUCGAAAAGGCAAUUACAUUGAAGUUCAGUGAUUCAGGAUUUUUCUGGAUCAUGCC
rnacentral:lncRNA from 1 species